GAGUGGCGGACGGGUGAGUAAGAUUUGGGAAUCUGCCCUGUAGAGGGGGACAACUUGGGGAAACUCAGGCUAAUACCGCAUACCUCUUACGAGAGAGAGCGGGGGACCUUCGGGCCUCGCGCUACAGGAUGAGCCCAAAUCCGAUUAGCUAGUUGGUAGGGUAAAGGCCUACCAAGGCAACGAUCGGUAGCCGGCCUGAAAGGGUGAACGGCCACACCGGGACUGAGACACGGCCCGG
rnacentral:rRNA from 1 species